UUAUCGUUUAUUUGAUAGUACCUUACUACUUGGAUAACCGUGGUAAUUCUAGAGCUAAUACAUGCUAAAAAUCUCGACUUCGGAAGGGAUGUAUUUAUUAGAUUAAAAACCAAUGCCCUUCGGGGCUCUCUGGUGAUUCAUGAUAACUUCUCGAAUCGCAUGGCCUUGCGCCGGCGAUGGUUCAUUCAAAUUUCUUCCCUAUCAACUUUCGAUGUUUGGGUAUUGGCCAAACAUGGUUGCAACGGGUAACGGAGGGUUAGGGCUCGACCCCGGAGAAGGAGCCUGAGAAACGGCUACUACAUCCAAGGAAGGCAGCAGGCGCGCAAAUUACCCAAUCCCGACUCGGGGAGGUAGUGACAAUAAAUACUGAUACAGGGCUCUUUUGGGUCUUGUAAUUGGAAUGAGUACAAUUUAAAUCCCUUAACGAGGAACAAUUGGAGGGCAAGUCUGGUGCCAGCAGCCGCGGUAAUUCCAGCUCCAAUAGCGUAUAUUAAAGUUGUUGUGGUUAAAAAGCUCGUAGUUGAACCUUGGGCCUGGCUGGCCGGUCCGCCUCACCGCGUGUACUGGUCCGGCCGGGCCUUUCCCUCUGUGGAACCCCAUGCCCUUCACUGGGUGUGGCGGGGAAACAGGACUUUUACUUUGAAAAAAUUAGAGUGCUCCAGGCAGGCCUAUGCUCGAAUACAUUAGCAUGGAAUAAUAGAAUAGGACGUGUGGUUCUAUUUUGUUGGUUUCUAGGACCGCCGUAAUGAUUAAUAGGGACAGUCGGGGGCAUCAGUAUUCAAUUGUCAGAGG
rnacentral:rRNA from 1 species